UAGGGAAUAUUGGUUAAUGGGCGAAAGCCUGAACCAGCAACGCCGCGUGCACGAUGACGGCCUUCGGGUUGUAAAGUGCUUUUUGGAGGGAAGAGGAAGGACGGUACCUCCAGAAUAAGUCUCGGCUAACUACGUGCCAGCAGCCGCGGUAACACGUAGGAGACAAGCGUUAUUCGGAUUUACUGGGCGUAAAGCGCGUGCAGGCGGUCUGACAAGUUGGAUGUGAAAGCUCCUGGCUUAACUGGGAGAGGUCGUUCAAAACUAUCAGACUAGAGAGUGGUAGAGGAAGGCGGAAUUCCGGGUGUAGUGGUGAAAUGCGUAGAUAUCCGGAGGAACACCAGUGGCGAAAGCGGCCUUCUGGACCAAUUCUGACGCUCAGACGCGAAAGCUAGGGUAGCGAACG
rnacentral:rRNA from 2 species